UAUGGCAGAUUAGUGCAAUGAACUUAAGCUUCAUAAAUAAAGAAUAUUCUUUUAUUAGAAA
rnacentral:tRNA from 1 species